rnacentral:rRNA from 1 species
AACGCGAAGAACCUUACCAAGGCUUGACAUGCAAUUGCACCACCCGUUAUGGGGUGUCCCGCUUGCGGGCGGUUGCACAGGUGCUGCAUGGCUGUCGUCAGCUCGUGUCGUGAGAUGUUGGGUUCAGUCCCGCAACGAGCGCAACCCCUGCCGCUAGUUAGGAUGUCUAGCGGGACCGCCGCGAUCAACGCGGAGGAAGGCGGGGAUGACGUCAAGUCAGCACGGCCCUUACGCCUUGGGCUACACACACGCUACAAUGGUCGGAACAACGGGCAGCCAACCCGCGAGGGGGAGCCAAUCCCAGCAAAACCGGCCUCAGUUCAGAUUGUAGGCUGAAACCCGCCUGCAUGAAGGAGGAGUUGCUAGUAACCGUGGGUCAGCACACCACGGUGAAUACGUUCCCGGGCCUUGUACACACCGAGACGUA